GUCUUUUUGAUAAUAAUUUAAAGUUUGACCUGCCCACUGAUACGUUAAAGGGCCGCAGUAUUUUGACUGUGCAAAGGUAGCAUAAUCAAUAGUUUUUUAAUUGAAAGCUUGAAUGAAUGGUUUGACAAGAAAAUAACUGUCUCUUUUUAAAAUUUAUUAGAAAUUUAUUUUUAAGUUAAAAAGCUUAAUUGAAUUUAAAAGACGAGAAGACCCUUUAGAAUUUUAUUAUUAAAUUAUUUGUUAUUAAUUUAGAAGUAUAUUAAUAAAAUUAUUUUAUUAAUUUUGUUGGGGUGAUGAAAAAAUUUAUUAAACUUUUUUAUUUAUAUUUCAUUAAUUUAUGUGUAUUUGAUCCAUUAUUUAUGAUUAUUAGAUUAAAUUACCUAAGGGAUAACAGCGUAAUUUUUUUUGAGAGUUCUUAUUAAAAAAAAAGUUUGCGACCUCGAUGUUGGAUUAAAAUUAAUUUUUGGUGUAGAAGCUAAAAAUUUUAGGUCUGUUCGACCUUUAAAAUUUUACA
rnacentral:rRNA from 1 species